UUGGGCUAAAAGUCCACACCACCUAUGGCUUCAUUCUGCAGAAACUAAGAAAACAAAACAAAAGGGAAUUAGGUGUGGGGGUUCUGCGCAGCAACCAAAUAGGAAAAAAAGUUUUGAAUAGAUAGAAAUAAAGAAGAAAGAGCGGAAGGUGAUUUCGUUUGGGACGCAGAAAGAGAAAGAGAUUAUUGGAGGUUUGUUAUCGAAUUCUAGAUUGACCGAAGGAAUUCAUACAAAUUUCUCUAGCAACGAGAUUGGUAUUUCGGCACGAGUACUAGAGCACAACUGACAUUGGUGAGGAAUUUGUUAACUAAAUCUAGCAAGUUGGAAAAUCCAUGGUGAGCCCGCACUUGUUCACGCGACAUCAAGUUAUUCAUUGUUAUGGACCUUUAUUAAACUCUUAGAGUUUCUCCAUAGUCAUUCCUUUAUUUGAGUCGUGAGUAUUCUUUCAUUAUUGUAGACAUGUGACUAGUUUUAAACUUUCUUCCCAUUUUGGAGAUGAAUUAGUAUUAUUGUGUGGCGAAUGGAUUGAUAAUAGAUAUUAUGUAUUGAUUUGGAGAUGUUUAGUUGUGUUGUUGAUUUCUGAGACAGGGAAAGAUUGGAUAGGGCCAAAAAUAGAGAAAAGUCGGUCCGAUUUUCUAUAGAUUUCCAUCAAGGCUUGCUUUGGGAUUCUCCCUCGUAACACCAGCAUGAUCCUAAAUUGGGUCUUGAUAAAGUUGGUAUCAGAACUUAGGUUAUUCCUGUUACU